GGCGGCGUGCUUAACACAUGCAAGUCGAGCGGAAAGGCCCUUCGGGGUACUCGAGCGGCGAACGGGUGAGUAACACGUGAGCAACCUCCCCUAGGCUUUGGGAUAACCCCGGGAAACCGGGGCUAAUACCGAAUAUGACCUCCGGUCGCAUGGUUGGUGGUGGAAAGUUUUUCGGCCUGGGAUGGGCUCGCGGCCUAUCAGCUUGUUGGUGGGGUGAUGGCCUACCAAGGCGACGACGGGUAGCCGGCCUGAGAGGGCGACCGGCCACACUGGGACUGAGACACGGCCCAGACUCCUACGGGAGGCAGCAGUGGGGAAUAUUGCACAAUGGGCGGAAGCCUGAUGCAGCGACGCCGCGUGAGGGAUGACGGCCUUCGGGUUGUAAACCUCUUUCAGCAGGGACGAAGCGCAAGUGACGGUACCUGCAGAAGAAGCGCCGGCCAACUACGUGCCAGCAGCCGCGGUAAGACGUAGGGCGCGAGCGUUGUCCGGAUUUAUUGGGCGUAAAGAGCUCGUAGGCGGCUUGUCGCGUCGACUGUGAAAACCCGCAGCUCAACUGCGGGCCUGCAGUCGAUACGGGCAGGCUAGAGUUCGGUAGGGGAGACUGGAAUUCCUGGUGUAGCGGUGAAAUGCGCAGAUAUCAGGAGGAACACCGGUGGCGAAGGCGGGUCUCUGGGCCGAUACUGACGCUGAGGAGCGAAAGCGUGGGGAGCGAACAGGAUUAGAUACCCUGGUAGUCCACGCUGUAAACGUUGGGCGCUAGGUGUGGGGGGCCUCUCCGGUUCCCUGUGCCGCAGCUAACGCAUUAAGCGCCCCGCCUGGGGAGUACGGCCGC
rnacentral:rRNA from 1 species